UACGGAGGAUGCAAGCGUUAUCCGGAAUGAUUGGGCGUAAAGCGUCCGCAGGUGGCACUGUAAGUCUGCUGUUAAAGAGCAGGGCUUAACCUUGUAAAAGCAGUGGAAACUACAGAGCUAGAGUACGUUCGGGGCAGAGGGAAUUCCUGGUGUAGCGGUGAAAUGCGUAGAGAUCAGGAAGAACACCGGUGGCGAAAGCGCUCUGCUAGGCCGUAACUGACACUGAGGGACGAAAGCUAGGGGAGCGAAUGGG
rnacentral:rRNA from 1 species